UACAUCCCCGACCAUUUUAAAGUUUGGUUUUUUCAGAUAAGAGUCUUGUUAAAAACGUUGCCUGAUCUGGUAAACUUGAAAUCUUUCAGCCUAGUCUCCCAAGUAGCUGGAAUUACAGGUAUGUACCACCAAGGUCAGCUAUUUACUUUUUAUAUCCUAAGCAAGAUCUUGUCUUCUAUAAUAUUUUUAAACCGGAUUUUAGUUUAUGUAUGAGAAGGCUGUUGAUUUUUGUAUGUUAACUUUACAAAUUCCUUUGCAAAAUUUUUUCCUUUGUUUGUAGUAGCCCAAGUUGGAUUUGAAUCUGACUCUGGUAUCUCUUGAGACUAUAGUCAGGCUAUUUUGAGUAUCUUAAUCAGUUUGGACUGCUAUAAUAAAGUACUAUAGAUUGAGUAGCUUGUAAACAAUGGAAAUUUAUUUCUCACAAUUCUGGAGGCUGGAAGUCUAAGAUUAGAUUGUGAGCAUGAUAAGGUUCUGUAGAGCGCUCUCUUUGGAGUUGUAGAAUGCUCACGUCUAGUGUCCUUACCUAGUAGAAAGAAUGAGCUAACUCUGGGUUCCUUUUGUAAGGGCACUAUUCCCAUUCAUGAAGGCUCCGCUCUCAGGAUUUCAUCUAAUCCAAAGUACCUCCCAGAAGCCCCAUCUCCCAAUACCAUUAUUUUGGGGGCUAGGGUUUUAAUAUAUAAUUUUUUAGGGGCAAGAAAUGAUUAGCUUAUAACAGUGGGGUGUCUUCCUCAUCUCUAAAAAUGCAGAUAAAAAAACGAAACUCAAAAAUGAUGGUGAGUGCCAUGAAGUGACACCCAAAAUUCACGUAUUGAAGAUUCAAUCUCCAGUGUAGUAGUGUUCAAAGGUGGGGCUUAGAGAGCUGAGUGGAUUGUGAGGGAAUUAACCUCAUCAAUUGUUUAAUCCAUUGAUGAAGUUGUAGUUGAAUGGGCUGCUAGGGGCUGGCACAGUUGGAGGUAGUAGGUCACUAGGAGGCAUGCCUUUGAAGAGUACGACCUGUCCCCAGUCCCUGCCUCCAUUUCCGACUCUUUCAGUUAGCUCCCUGACUGCCAUAAUUGAGUAGCUUUUUUCUACCAAGCCCAUGGAUUGAAUCUCUGAAGCUAUGAGGCAAAAUAAAAUUUUCUCUCCUUUAAAUUGUGUAUGUCAGAUAUUUUGUCCCUUUAACAGAAUGAUGACUAAUGAACAUAAUAGUUGAGAUUAUAUAAUAAAAGAGCUAAUAUUUCACUUGCCACAUAGUAGGCAAUCAAUUACCAGUAUCCAUUAAUAGUGUAUUGUAAUGUGAUAUGAUGUGAUAUCAUUAUUUUCUUCUUGAAGUAUAGCUUAUGUGCUGUGCUAUUGAACUAUUGAAAAUUGAUCAUAGCAGUUUUUACCAAGAGUAGAGUGAAUUUAACAAAUUUUUAAAAUUUUCAUGAUAAGCAUUUGUAAUAAACAUUUAUUUUAUUUAUUUUUUUUUGGUUUUUUGAGGCAGGAUUUCCUUUGUAGUUCAGGCUGUCCCUGAACUCACUGUGUAGCCCAGGCUGGCCUCAAACUGGAAGCAAUCCUCCUGCCUCAGCCUCCUGAGUGCUGGUAUUACAGGCAUGCACCACCAUGCUUGGCUUGUAAUAAGCAUUUAAAUACCAAUAACUAAAGAAUAAUUCUGAGAUUAUAUGGUUUUUGUGGCUUUGCACAUACAUUUCCAUUACUUCUCAUUUAAUUAUGAUUUUUACAUGCAAAGUUUCUUACCUCUGUAGAGUAUCUGGAAAGAACUUCUAGAUCACCCACAGUGAUUAUUCAAGGCGUUUCUUAGAGUGUAUUGAUUUCAGCACUUGUUAACUGUGUAAGUGGAUAUGAGGAUUUCAAGUCCUGCAAUCCUUUGCAUCCUAACUCAAGAAUCUGACAACUUUAACCAUACUUUCUUGGUAAAUAGUAUACUUGUAAAUGAGUUCAUGUGAGUUAAAUAUUUAAUAUAUAUGAACUCAUGAUGAUAAUGAUCUUAGCAGAUUAAUGUUUUCUGUCCUAUUAUAUAAGAUCUGUUGAUAAAAUUAAUGACAAAACAAUGAGGAAGUCUAAUGACUUUAAAGCUUGUACUAUAAAUUACUACAAUGGAUAUUAUCUUUGCAAAUGCAUUCUUUUAAUUCAUUUGAGAUAAUCUAUUGCUUGAAAAUAAGAAUUCCAGAAAUUUAGAAUUCAUCUUAUUCCUACCUCAUGAUUGUGUUGUGAGGCUAUGCACUUAGGGCACAUACUAAGGUGCCUAGCUCAUGAUAAAAGCUUGAUGAAUAUCAGUUGAUUUUAUUCUUACCAUUUAUCUACAAAAUGUUGCUCAAAAUAGUACCUACUAUAUAAGGUUAUCCUGAGGAUUAAAUGAUUUGUCUUAUACUGCAGUUAGAGAAAUAAUAUAGUUAUCUAGAGAUCCUGAUUUCAGAUGUUUUGAGUAAGUGCCCAGAAGAAUUCUAAACAUGUAAUAUUUCUAUUAUUAGUUUUGAGGAAGCUCCAUACUGUCUUCCUUAGGGACUGUACCAUUUGGCACUCAUAUCAACAGAGCACAGAAGUUCCAACUUCUCUACAUCAUCACCAACACCUGGCUUUUAAAAAGAAAUUAGUAGUAGGCCAGGAUUUAGCUCAGUGGUUCUACAGCCUCCCUCACAAACGCAAGGUCCAGAGUUUUAUCCCCGCUCCCAAAAAAGGAGAAAAAAGAAAUUAGUAGCUGUCCUGACAGAUGUUAGGUGAUACUUUGUUGUGGCUUUCCUUGCUUUACCAUGAUGAUUAGUAGAUAGAUUAGAUGAUAAUAAAGAUUUUUUUCAUAUACUCAUUGGCCAUUUGUUUGUCUUCUGUAGAGAAAUGACUGUUGAAAUAUCUCAAUUUGUUUGGACUGCUAUUACAAAAUACUUUAAACUGGGUAAUUUGUGAACAAUAUAAAUUUACUGUACACAGUACUGGAGGCUAGAAAGUUCGACAAAGUUCUGGAAGAUUCAAUGUCUGUUUGUUUUCAUCCACCAUUAUUCGAAUAAGGAUCUUGAAUAAAUAUGAACACUCACAUUAUUGUAAUAUUGUUGACAAUAACCAAGAUAUGAGGAAAACCCAAAUGUUCUACAGAUGAGUGGAUAAAGAAAACAUUAUACAUACAUACAAUGGAGUAUUAUUCAUCCUUAGAAGAGAGGUAAAUUCUAUAAUAUAGGACAACAUGGAUAAAACUUGAGGAUGUUAUGCUGACUAAAAUAUGCCAAUCACAGAAAGACAAAUACUAUCUGAUUCCACUUUUAAGACAUACACAAAUAGUCAAAUUCAUUGAAUAAAAGAGUAGAAUGGUGGUUCCAGCGAUUUGAAUUGAGCAGGAAAUGGGGUUACUAAUCAAUGGGCAAAAUGUUUCAGUUAAGCAAAAUGAAUUAAGUUUUAGAGUUCUGCUGUAUCAUAUAUAAUAAUCAAUGCUGUACACUUAAAAAUAUCAUACACUUAAAUAUUUGCUAAGAGGGUAGUUAAAUGCUUUUAUUAAAAUAAAGCAAAUAAAAUAUAGAAAGUCCUCAAUAAAUGUUAAUUAACAUUAGUGUGAUUGUUAGACAAAAGGGAAUGAAGCUAAUCCCAUAAUAAUAAACCCAAAGUAAUACUAUAUAUAAAGGAUGAUAACAUUAUUUUUGUUGUGGCUAGGGCAGUGGGAUUGGGGGAGCUUUAGUCAAUACUAUUUGAAGCAAACCUUAAAAUACGAUUUCUGUAGGUGAGAAAAAAAUAGAAGAGAAGUGGAUGUAAAAAAGAAAACUUCCAGGGACUUUGCAGUCAUAAAGAUUCAUAUCUAAAGUCCUGCUCCACUUCUUAUUAGUUGUGUGACCCUGGAUAAAAAUAGGCCCUGUUUGUAUUCUUGAGUCAUGGUCUGCUAAUUCUUUCUAGGCAGUAAACUACAGCAAUAGUGAGAAUAAAUUCAUUGUUUUACUUGUCUGAGAGAUUGCUGUCCUGUGCUGCCUGCUGUUCAUUGGAUGUAAAUCAAUAUUUUAUGUAUUUUAUCUAGUUUUUUGGUUAAGGCGGGAGACUAUAAACCCUGUUUCUGUUCCUCCAUCAAUUUCAAAAGCAGAAAGUCAGUAGAUUACUAUUAGUUUUACUUUUCUCAUUGGUGAAUUUGAAACUUAUUUGUUUCUCUUAGCACCUUGUAGUUGUUACUUUUUUGUUCUCAUUAUACUGCAUUAUAAUUAUUACUUUACUUAUAGUACUGCUUCCUCACUACUCUGGAUUUUUAGACAACAGUGACUAUGUCUGUUUCAUUUUUACCCUUAUUACCCACCCAUUGUCAAGUUUUGAGUCUGGAAAAUAUAAAGAAAGUUAAUGAAUAUUUUUUUAUAUUUAAUUUCUGUGGAUUGUAGCUGAGUGCCAUACAGUGGAAGACUUUGAAUACUGCACUGGAGUUACCCUUUUAUUCACUGCACAAGAACAGGAGGGAUGGGAAACUUUUUAAAAAAUAAGCUUUAGAAAAAAUAACUCUAGAAGCAUGAAAAUUGAUAGGGACUACUAGAGGUUGAAAAUAGACUAUCUAGAAUUCUGCUUUUCAGAUCUGCUUUUAUAGAUGCACUAGAAGCAUAAAGACAGAUGAAAGGUAUUAGUGAUUGAAAUUUAGGGGUUGAGGAUAUAACUGUGGGAAUGGGCAGGGAAUAUUGCUGGUUUUGGUAAUUGAUUAGAUGGCUAUAACUGAAAGGAAAAGUGAGAAAAAUGAUGGCACAGAUUUUUACCAAUGAUUGACAAAAUCCUUAGAAUGAAUUGUUAGGUUCUUUUGUCAUCUUUAGCACAUAAAUGACCAAUUUUAUGAUAAAAAUUUGAGAACAAAAUUUCAAUAUGUAAAGAAAUAAAUAGUGAUAAAAAUUUAUCUUAAGAAUUUUGAAUUUAAAAAAUUUAAAAAUUCUUAGGAAAUAUUUUAUUAUGUAGGGAUAAUUUUCAGUUGUAUUAUAAAUACCAUUUAUAUAUGUACAUGUUUCAUUAUCCCAUAUAUAUUCUUCUGCUUCCUUGUGUCUGUAGAAUAUUUUGGUAUGGAUUUACUGCUCAAAGUACAUUUCACAUAGUUUGAUGAGUGUUUGUAGCAUAAUCUAGAGUGAGAGUUUUUCCUCAGAUAUAUUUUAACUUCAGUUUUGGAAUAUAAGUAUUCAUGCAGACUCUUCUCUUUUUGAGAAGGUGGAAGAGCUAUUGAGAGUAGCAGAAGUAGGGAAUAAAACACAUUAGAACAAUUAUAGAAACCCUCCAAUGCUAAACAUUUAUCCAUAAAAUAUAGUAGCUGUUUGAAUAUAUAGAACAUUUGUAACAAGAACUUGCUUACAUGGAAACCAUAAUAUUAAGUGAAAUAAAUCAGGUACACAAGCUUAAAUAUUUUUCUUAUAUGUAAAAUAUUUCUCUUAUAUGUAAAACUCAGUAUAUAAAUAAAGUGCAAAGUAAAAGACAAAUAAUAGGAAAAAAGAGAGAGAAAAACGUUAUUGAUAUCCAGCCUGAACAAUGUUUCUAAAGUGUUCCUUGAUUUAGUAUUAUUGUCUUAUAUGAUUUAAAUGUUUUUUGGCUUAUUAGUCUUGUUGUUAAUCUGUAUAUAUGAUAAUUAACUUUAUAAUGACAUAAAUGAAUCUGAUGCUGGCAAUAUAAAAGGAGGUGAGGGAAGAGAAAAAAAGAAUUGAGAUGUGGGUUUGGACUGGUCUGUGUCUUCUAGUUUCUUGAGGUAAAACAUCAUUUAUUUGAGCUCCCUCUGUUUUUGUAAUAUGAGCAUUCACAGCAAUAAAUUUCUUUCAGGACUGUUACAUUGUGUCUUAUAGGUUGUUGUAUGUUGUAUUGGCAUUAUGGUUUGAUUCUCGAAUUGUUUAAUUCUUCCUUGCUUUCUUCUGUGACCCAUUGAAUCUUCAGGAGUGUAUUAUUUAAUGUUCAGGUAUUUGUAAAAUUUCUGCGGUUCUUUUUGUGAAUUGAUUUCUAGUUUCAGUUUGCUAUGUUCUGAUAAUAUAUGUGGAUAGUUUUGAUUCUUUCAUAUUUAAGCAGGCUUUAGGGACUAGUAUGUCAUCUGUUUUGAAGAAAGUUUCAUAUGCUGGUGAGAAGAAUAUGUAUUCUGUUAUAAUAGGGUAGAAUACUCUGCAGAUAUCUAUUAAGUACAUUCUAAAGUGUAGUUCAGCCUUUACAUUUGUUAAUUUUUUCGAUAAGUUGAUCUGUUUGUGAAAGUGGGGUGUUGAAGUCACCCAUUGUGAUUCUGCUGGUGUUUAUUUGAUCUUUUAUGUCCAGUAGUGUUUGUUUUUUGACAUUAGGUGUUCUGGUAUUUGUUGUAUAUUUUUCCUUGACUAAUAUGUAGUGACCUUCUUUGCAUCUUUUGAUCGUUUUUAGCUUGAAAUUUAUUAGCAUACCCAUGUAUAUAGUGGCCCAGUUUGUAAUAGCUAAAUCUUGGAAACAGUCCAGAUGCUCAUCGAGACUGGAUAAAGAAGACGUGGGUUUUUAAAAAAUAAAAUGGAAUACUACUCAGCCAUAAAGAAUGAUAAACUAAAGACAUUUAUAGCUAAAUGGAUGUACAUUGAGGCCAUACUCUUAAGUGACAUAAAUAGGACACCCAUGUGUAAAUUCCAAAUAGUUUCUCUGGUGUGAGAAACUGAAAGUGUAAAUGAGGAUCAAAAUGUAUAAUAGAUAAUGUGAAAUAAGAAGAAAAGGUCCAAGGGGGAAGGGGAAAUGGGGGGAGAGUAGAGGAAAGGAAAGAGGUUAAAAAAAAAACACUGAGA
rnacentral:lncRNA from 1 species